ACAUAAGUAACGAUAAAGCGGGUGAAAAGCCCGCUCGCCGGAAGACCAAGGGUUCCUGUCCAACGUUAAUCGGGGCAGGGUGAGUCGACCCCUAAGGCGAGGCCGAAAGGCGUAGUCGAUGGGAAACAGGUUAAUAUUCCUGUACUUGGUGUUACUGCGAAGGGGGGACGGAGAAGGCUAUGUUGGCCGGGCGACGGUUGUCCCGGUUUAAGCGUGUAGGCUGGUUUUCCAGGCAAAUCCGGAAAAUCAAGGCUGAGGCGUGAUGACGAGGCACUACGGUGCUGAAGCAACAAAUGCCCUGCUUCCAGGAAAAGCCUCUAAGCAUCAGGUAACAUCAAAUCGUACCCCAAACCGACACAGGUGGUCAGGUAGAGAAUACCAAGGCGCUUGAGAGAACUCGGGUGAAGGAACUAGGCAAAAUGGUGCCGUAACUUCGGGAGAAGGCACGCUGAUAUGUAGGUGAAGUCCCUCGCGGAUGGAGCUGAAAUCAGUCGAAGAUACCAGCUGGCUGCAACUGUUUAUUAAAAACACAGCACUGUGCAAACACGAAAGUGGACGUAUACGGUGUGACGCCUGCCCGGUGCCGGAAGGUUAAUUGAUGGGGUUAGCGCAAGCGAAGCUCUUGAUCGAAGCCCCGGUAAACGGCGGCCGUAACUAUAACGGUCCUAAGGUAGCGAAAUUCCUUGUCGGGUAAGUUCCGACCUGCACGAAUGGCGUAAUGAUGGCCAGGCUGUCUCCACCCGAGACUCAGUGAAAUUGAACUCGCUGUGAAGAUGCAGUGUACCCGCGGCAAGACGGAAAGACCCCGUGAACCUUUACUAUAGCUUGACACUGAACAUUGAGCCUUGAUGUGUAGGAUAGGUGGGAGGCUUUGAAGUGUGGACGCCAGUCUGCAUGGAGCCGACCUUGAAAUACCACCCUUUAAUGUUUGAUGUUCUAACGUGGACCCGUAAUCCGGGUUGCGGACAGUGUCUGGUGGGUAGUUUGACUGGGGCGGUCUCCUCCUAAAGAGUAACGGAGGAGCACGAAGGUUGGCUAAUCCUGGUCGGACAUCAGGAGGUUAGUGCAAUGGCAUAAGCCAGCUUGACUGCGAGCGUGACGGCGCGAGCAGGUGCGAAAGCAGGUCAUAGUGAUCCGGUGGUUCUGAAUGGAAGGGCCAUCGCUCAACGGAUAAAAGGUACUCCGGGGAUAACAGGCUGAUACCGCCCAAGAGUUCAUAUCGACGGCGGUGUUUGGCACCUCGAUGUCGGCUCAUCACAUCCUGGGGCUGAAGUAGGUCCCAAGGGUAUGGCUGUUCGCCAUUUAAAGUGGUACGCGAGCUGGGUUUAGAACGUCGUGAGACAGUUCGGUCCCUAUCUGCCGUGGGCGCUGGAGAACUGAGGGGGGCUGCUCCUAGUACGAGAGGACCGGAGUGGACGCAUCACUGGUGUUCGGGUUGUCAUGCCAAUGGCACUGCCCGGUAGCUAAAUGCGGAAGAGAUAAGUGCUGAAAGCAUCUAAGCACGAAACUUGCCCCGAGAUGAGUUCUCCCUGACCCUUUAAGGGUCCUGAAGGAACGUUGAAGACGACGACGUUGAUAGGCCGGGUGUGUAAGCGCAGCGAUGCGUUGAGCUAACCGGUACUAAUGAACCGUGAGGCUUAACCUU
rnacentral:rRNA from 1 species